rnacentral:rRNA from 1 species
AGUAACACGUGGGAAACCUGCCCAGAAGCGGGGGAUAACACCUGGAAACAGAUGCUAAUACCGCAUAACAACUUUGACCGCAUGGUCCGAGUUUGAAAGAUGGCUUCGGCUAUCACUUUUGGAUGGUCCCGCGGCGUAUUAGCUAGAUGGUGGGGUAACGGCUCACCAUGGCAAUGAUACGUAGCCGACCUGAGAGGGUAAUCGGCCACAUUGGGACUGAGACACGGCCCAA